rnacentral:rRNA from 1 species
AUUGCCCUAGUAACGGCGAGUGAAGCGGCAACAGCUCAAAUUUGAAAUCUGGCCCUAUUGGUCCGAAUUGUAAUUUGUAGAGGAUGCUUUGGGCGCGGUGCCUUCCGAGUUCCUUGGAACAGGACGCCUUAGAGGGUGAGAGCCCCGUACGGUUGGACACCAAGCCUAUGUAAAGCUCCUUCGACGAGUCGAGUAGUUUGGGAAUGCUGCUCUAAAUGGGAGGUAAAUUUCUUCUAAAGCUAAAUACCGGCCAGAGACCGAUAGCGCACAAGUAGAGUGAUCGAAAGAUGAAAAGUACUUUGAAAAGAGGGUUAAAUAGCACGUGAAAUUGUUGAAAGGGAAGCAUUUAUGACCAGACCUUUGCUAGGUGGAUCAUCCGGUGUUCUUCACCGGUGCACUUCGCCUAGCUUAGGCCAGCAUCGAUUUCUGUAGGGGGAUAAAGGUCUAGGGAACGUAGCUCUCUUCGGAGAGUGUUAUAGCCCUGGGCGUAAUACCCUUACGGGGAUCGAGGUUCGCGCUUCGGCAAGGAUGCUGGCAUAAUGGUCAUCAAUGACCCGUCUUGAAACACGGACCAAGGAGUCGAACAUUUAUGCGAGUGUUUGGGUGUCAAACCCUCACGCGUAAUGAAAGUGAACGGAGGUGAGAGCCCUUACGGGUGCAUCAUCGACCGAUCCUGAUGUCUUCGGAUGGAUUUGAGUAAGAGCAUAACUGUUCGGACCCGAAAGAUGGUGAACUAUGCGUGGAUAGGGUGAAGCCAGAGGAAACUCUGGUGGAGGCUCGCAGCGGUUCUGACGUGCAAAUCGAUCGUCAAAUCUGCGCAUGGGGGCGAAAGACUUAUCGAACCAUCUAGUAGCUGGUUACCGCCGAAGUUUCCCUCAGGAUAGCAGUGUUGUUUUCGGG